rnacentral:lncRNA from 1 species
GUUAAUCUUGAAGGAGAAAAGGUUUUCUCAUGAGUUGUCAUGCUCGCUAGGCGAAGCCCAGGUGUUUUGAAAAGAAAAAAAAAAAGGAAAAAGAAAAAAAAGAAAAAAAAGAAAAUCAUGGACUUGGACCUCUCUCAUUUGAGCCCACAGGUCCACAAAAAUCAGGUUAUAAAUUUAGAGUUUCAGUGAAACAAAAUUAAUUAUAUUCCUAUUACCCUGUCUGGGAAAAAGAUAGUGAGAGAAGAACCCUGAAGGGAACUCAACUGCACAGAAUCACC